CUACGGGUGGCUGCAGUGAGGAAUUUUGCGCAAUGGGGGGAGCCCUGACGCAGCAACGCCGCGUGAGUGAUGAAGGCUUUCGGGUCGUAAAGCUCUGUCAAGUGGGAAGAACCUAUGCAGUGUUAAUAUCACUGUAUACUGACGGUACCACUGAAGGAAGCACCGGCUAGCUCCGUGCCAGCAGCCGCGGUAAUACGGGGGGUGCAAGCGUUAUUCGGAAUCAUUGGGCGUAAAGGGCACGUAGGCGGCUUGGUAAGUCAGAUGUGAAAGCCCGGGGCUUAACCCCGGAAGUGCAUUUGAUACUGUCAGGCUUGAGUAUGGGAGAGGGAAGUGGAAUUCCUGGUGUAGAGGUGAAAUUCGUAGAUAUCAGGAGGAACACCGGUGGCGAAGGCGACUUCCUGGACCAAUACUGACGCUGGGGUGCGAAAGCGUGGGGAGCAAACAGGAUUAGAUACCCUAGUAGUC
rnacentral:rRNA from 1 species